rnacentral:rRNA from 1 species
AGCUGAUCACUGGGUGUAAAGCGUGCGCAGGCGGUUUUGUAAGACAGUGGUGAAAUCCCCGGGCUCAACCUGGGAACUGCCAUUGUGACUGCAAGGCUAGAGUGCGGCAGAGGGGGAUGGAAUUCCGCGUGUAGCAGUGAAAUGCGUAGAUAUGCGGAGGAACACCGAUGGCGAAGGCAAUCCCCUGGGCCUGCACUGACGCUCAUGCACGAAAGCGUGGGGAGCAAACA